GGAGAGAUGGCAGAGUGGUUGAUUGCGUCAGAUUGCUAAUUUGAUGCGCAAAGUAAUUUGUGCCGAGGGUUCAAAUCCCUCUCUCUCCU
rnacentral:tRNA from 1 species